UACGUAGGGUGCAAGCGUUGUCCGGAAUUAUUGGGCGUAAAGAGCUCGUAGGCGGUCUGUUGCGUCGGCUGUGAAAACCCGAGGCUCAACCUCGGGCCUGCAGCCGAUACGGGCAGACUAGAGUUCGGCAGGGGAGACUGGAAUUCCUGGUGUAGCGGUGAAAUGCGCAGAUAUCAGGAGGAACACCGGUGGCGAAGGCGGGUCUCUGGGCCGAUACUGACGCUGAGGGGCGAAAGCGUGGGGAGCGAACAGG
rnacentral:rRNA from 1 species